rnacentral:rRNA from 1 species
GAGGAAUAUUGGUCAAUGGACGGAAGUCUGAACCAGCCAAGUAGCGUGCAGGAUGACGGCCCUAUGGGUUGUAAACUGCUUUUGUAUGGGGAUAAAGUUAGGGACGUGUCCCUAUUUGCAGGUACCAUACGAAUAAGGACCGGCUAAUUCCGUGCCAGCAGCCGCGGUAAUACGGAAGGUCCAGGCGUUAUCUGGAUUUAUUGGGUUUAAAGGGAGCGUAGGCUGGAGAUUAAGUGUGUUGUGAAAUGUAGACGCUCAACGUCUGAAUUGCAGCGCAUACUGGUUUCCUUGAGUACGCACAACGUUGGCGGAAUUCGUCGUGUAGCGGUGAAAUGCUUAGAUAUGACGAAGAACUCCGAUUGCGAAGGCAGCUGACGGGAGCGCAACUGACGCUUAAGCUCGAAGGUGCGGGUAUCAAACAGGAUUAGAUACCCUGGUAGUCCGCACAGUAAACGAUGGAUGCCCGCUGUUGGUACCUGGUAUCAGCGGCUAAGCGAAAGCAUUAAGCAUCCCACCUGGGGAGUACGCCGGCAACGGUG